CACUUUAAGGCACCAUCCCCACAAAAGCGUCACCCUCACUCAGUGUGUGUUAACAAAGCCUCUGUCAGAACUCGUCUGCAUCAUCUGGCUUAUCUUGGUACAAAUUCACACCAAGAGAUAACAGUAAAAAUGCCUGCUUGACCUGUCCCUUGAGCUUUCAGACUGUAGGAUAGAGGGGAUGUGAACACUCCAAGGAGAGUGAUGAUUCAGGCUGCUACCAGUAUUAUUAUUUAUUUUUUGUUGUGAAAUAGCGACCUUCUUUUUGUGAACUUUUUAACAUGGGCUGAUCUUUCCAUUCCUAAAGCCUCUCGAGCCAGUAGACCACGUUUCCAUCCCUUAACAGGCCACUAAGUGUCACAAUUGGAUUUUCGAUUUAAACUUUUUUUUUUCAAAAGGGACAGCAAUACCACAAUAGGAAUCACUAGAUAGCAGAAAGGGUCUUUGCAACAACAGUUUGAGUUUCUCAGAGGUUUUUUUUGGCACAAUUGAAUGCACCAUUAGUUUAACAAUGUGCUAUACGAAGGCACCACGGAGCCCCGUCGGAGCCGCAGUCCACAUGCUUUACCUUCGUUUUUUGUUUACAUAACUCACUCACGUGGAAGGCAAAACGUUGCCACACCGGUGACCUCAGGGAAGCAGAAGGAUUACUCUCUCUGUCCGUCAUCUCCAACUCCGACAGUGGCCAUGGUGACUGGAAUAGCCAAGCUACAGGCUACCGAUAUAAAAAUGGCCAAAUGCUGCCCCUUUGAUGGGGAGGGACAUUCCUGGAAUCUCUCAGAUGUCUGUGCUGCUUUGCGGUAACCCAACUCCGGUUGAAAGCAUUUUCCUGGGAAAAAGAGGCGGCUCGCAAUCGACGGGGCACAGGGACACCUGCAGCUCUGGCGCAGCGGCGACUACAGAUCAGCCCUGGACAUGACUCAACACCGAACCGAACACACAAAUACACACACGCACACGCACACACCCUGACACUUGCAUUCACACAGAAAAAAGUACUCCAGCACUCGCCUAUGCUUCCACACACGUACGGUACAUUCCACUCUGCAACUUCCCCCACCUUUCCAACUGUCUCUCCGGUUCAUUCAGUGAUGUCCAUGCUGAUGAGUGUAUUACGGUGAAAAUGAGGACAGCUGCUCCCAUAAACCCUGUCAUCAAUUUGUCUCAGUCAUUAAAAUUGUCUGUAAUUGGC